UGGCCUGCGAUAUUGCGCGGAUAUUCUCUGUCGCUGACGUGCCCUCCGCCUCUUUUUUGCGCGUCGUUCCACUCUCUCGUGUUGCCUUCUAUCCCCACUCUGUCCGCCCACGCCCCAUACGCAUGCGCCUUUCUGCCUGUCUCACUCUGGCCGCUUUGCACACAAGGACUUCCAACUCUUACUCUUGGCAUUCCGUGGAGAGCAUCACCAAUCCCGCGAACCACCUUGGCUGCCCCCUCGCUGAAAAGGGCGCACGAGAAUGAAGCAAGUUAAGGCAGCGUUCGAGGCCAACAAGCGUGUCUACGAGAGCGUGCUGCUCACUUUCAAAGGUGUUGACGGCUAUGACGUGUACAACUGCUCCGUCCCCUUCUCCUACAAGGGCAAGACGCACAUCUACGGCCGCGUUGAAAAGCGCGAUAUUUGGGCCGCUUCGCAUGUGCGGCUCUUCGAGGAGACGGGCAAGGAUGAGUUCACCGUCGUCCCCGGCUUCUAUUUCCAGUUGGAGGAUCCGCACAUUGCGAAAAUCAACAACGAGAUGAUCUUCGGCGGCACACAUGUGCGGAAGGACAAGCAGGAGAUCAGCGCCUACUACGGCUACUUCUACCGUGGCACGCCAGAUGAGCUGAAGUACUUCACGACAGGCCCUGACUGCAUGAAGGACAUUCGCGUUCUGCAGCUGCAGGACGGCCGUCUCGGGGUCUUUUCACGCCCACGAGUAGGACACAAGGCCUCUAUCGGCUUCGUGAUCCUAAACUCCAUCGACGAGCUCGGCGCCGAGGUGAUUGCCAAAGCACCGCCGCUCGACAUCCUGCCCGAGAACGCGUGGGGCGGCGUCAACCAGGCAUACCUCCUCUCCAGCGGCAAGGUUGGCUGUAUUGGACACUACAGCUAUGAGGACACAAAUGAGAAGCAGCAGCCGCAGAGCGUCUACGUGAACUACUCCUUCGUGCUCGACCCCCAGAGCCGAGCGAUUGCAGAUGCGAAGAUCAUCGGCACAAAGAGCUGCUACCCACCGUGCGAACCCAAGGUUCCCCUUCUAGCGGACUGCGUUUUCGCCUCCGGCAUCGUAAUGCGCAGCGAUGGCAGGGUAGAUCUCUACAGUGGCGUCGGCGACAGUCGCGAGGGCCGCAUCACCAUUGACUACCCUUUCAAGGGCCAUGGCACCAUCAUUGGCGACUUCCACUUCCCCACGGCUUCCUCCUUGUGAUCGCUCUCUGUGCUCGUGCGUUCGGGCAGGUGGCCCAGGAGGAGGGAGGGGAGGCUGAAACUCAGGUAGACAGUCGCGCAACACCACGUCACGCAUUGCAGCGUCGAUUGUGAUACGUUGGCACGUAGCGCACAUAUGUGAUGCGCAUGUUACCACCACCAUCACAAAAAGGAAAACGCAUCAGUGCAGGGCGGUGCAGGCGCACACGUCUAUUUGUUUCUUCUGCUGCUCGCUCCCUUCUUUUUCCUUUCCUCCCUCUGCUCCCCCCGCACUCUUGCUUGCCUCACCUGGUUGGCCCCGAAGCCCCUUUUUCCCCUGUCUUUUCUGCUCCCUGAUGAUGUGAGGAUACACCUCUCCGUGUGUGGUGUCAGGGCUCAGUACCCCGACUCUGCGUGAGGGGAAGCCAUGCACCCUCUUAACCCCUGUCGAUGUCAAGCCACCUCUGGUUGUGCCAGCGGCAAUCACCCACGCGGUUGAGGAUGCCAGAGCGAUGCAUGGCUGCUGAUGUCGGCGGUGGGGUGGUGGACGGCGUUGCGUUGGAGCGGCCUGAGACAGCGAACACGCGUGUGCCAUCCACAUCAUGGGCACAGUGCCAAUGCCACUCCAAUGCAUCUUCACCCCGCCCUGGCACUGCCUGCAGGUGUGGGGCGCCUGAGCCACCUCGAGGGGGAUGCAUCAGGUGGCUGCCGGCACCAUGGGAGCGGCUGUGAGGCGACCUGACCUGCGAGGCAGGGGGGCGGGUAGAGUGUGAGGCAGAGGCUGUGCUGCGGUGCCCACGUGGGCAUUGCGGUAGCACUUGUCUGCUGCUGCAUGGCACCACGCGAUGGGGACGCUGUGACGGGCCGGGGGUAGGGUGGAGGUCAGAUCAUGCGGUAUGAGAGGAUGGACAAGUGAGAGCUUUUGCUGAUCUCGCCGCUGUCUUUCUUUAUCUCGGUGCAGCUUCAAGUUUUCACCUGUUCGUGGAACCGUUUCUACUUUUUCGUCCUCGACCUACUCGUGCGCUUGUCUGUUUUUGAUAG
rnacentral:misc_RNA from 1 species